rnacentral:rRNA from 1 species
GUGGGGAAUAUUGCACAAUGGGCGCAAGCCUGAUGCAGCGACGCCGCGUGAGGGAUGACGGCCUUCGGGUUGUAAACCUCUUUCAGCAGGGAAGAAGCGCAAGUGACGGUACCUGCAGAAGAAGCGCCGGCUAACUACGUGCCAGCAGCCGCGGUAAUACGUAGGGCGCAAGCGUUGUCCGGAAUUAUUGGGCGUAAAGAGCUCGUAGGCGGUUUGUCGCGUCUGCUGUGAAAACCUAAGGCUCAACCUUGGGCUUGCAGUGGGUACGGGCAGACUAGAGUGCGGUAGGGGUGACUGGAAUUCCUGGUGUAGCGGUGGAAUGCGCAGAUAUCAGGAGGAACACCGAUGGCGAAGGCAGGUCACUGGGCCGCAACUGACGCUGAGGAGCGAAAGCAUGGGGAGCGAACAGGAUUAGAAACCCGGGUAGUCC